rnacentral:ncRNA from 2 species
ACAAAUCUUCAGGGCAGGGUGUAAUUCCCGAUCGGCGGUAUAGUCCGCGAGCCGUAAAGGCAGAACCGUUUGAAACUACGGUACCGACAGUAAAGUCUGGAAGGAAGAAGACAUUA